CCCCCGCUGCUGUCUCCCUCACGCGUCUGACAUAAAACCGCCGACAUGCCCGCCCUGCGAGCUCCCCGUCACCCCCGCGCCCCUUCCCCUCCCGCGGCGACCAGCGCGAGGACGGCGGUGCACCGCGGCAGUCCGCCGGCACAUGCGCCGGUGUGCACCUCGCAAUGCACCCGGGGAGAGUCACCGAGCUACCUCGAGUACAAGGGGAGGAGCACCCCCACUCGCCCGAGUUACCCUGGCGCGAGGACGCCGCCGGGGAAGUCCGGCAUCGCACUGAAGCAGGAGAGGUGCUCCGUGGUGCAUUCGGGAGAAGGACGGCGAGGUGACGAGGCUCGAGGGUGCGAGGAUGCACGUGCAGAGCCAAGCGCGUCGAGGAAAACGCAGCACGAGGAGGGCCCCCUUCGCUCCCUUCGUAUGAAGAGCGUGCGGCAGCGGAGGAAGCAGCACGCUCACACGAGUCCCCUAAUGCCUCGAGCCUGGCGGACAGGUUGUCCUGUUCGAGUAAUUUGUUCGCUCGGCUCGAUGUAUGAGGAAAAGCUCGGUUCAUCGCGAGGGCGCAUGGUUGUGACCGCUCAUCAACAACGGGAAACGACUUGCAUUAAGUUGCCUGUAAAACAUUCAUUGGAGAGAAAGAGACCGCAGAGAGUUUUAACGGUAGUUGUAAAUUGUGUUACAACUUGUCUCGGUGCAGUGUAAGUAUGCUUGCAACGACCAUGUAAAACAAGAAGCUCGGUGGACAGUAAUAAUAAAGAAACUCGGUCCCAAAUCCCGAAUCCACGGGCAAGUCCUGCGGGGCGCGGCAGAGUGACACCGCAGCUGCUUGUGGGCCAUGUGCAGCACGCGCACGGCCUUACCGGCUCACUCGGCGACACCUUCUCCUCCUUCACUCCUGACGCGACACGGCAGUGACGCCGAUAGCGACGCUCGGGUCUCCGAUAACAAGAGCCUCAGUCGAAGAGAAAGGGGGCGGAAGGCGAGGGAUGGGGGGGGUGGGGUGGAUUGCUCUCCGCAGACCACGCCGUUCACAAUACAAGAGCCGCGGGGCUGUGAUGGUCCUGGAGCAGUUUAGAGAAGGGAAGGGCACUGGUUGUCUCUGCACGCCCCUUACCCGCGGGCCCACAACCAUUAAAAGUUUUUGUAUAAUGAACCGCAAAUCAGAAAUAAAAUUUCUAGAAACUAUGUA